UACGAAGGGGGCUAGCGUUGCUCGGAAUCACUGGGCGUAAAGGGUGCGUAGGCGGGUCUUAAGUCAGGGGUGAAAUCCUGGAGCUCAACUCCAGAACUGCCUUCGAUACUGGCGAUCUUGAGUCCGGAAGAGGUGAGUGGAACUCCUAGUGUAGAGGUGGAAUUCGUAGAUAUUAGGAAGAACACCAGUGGCGAAGGCGGCUCACUGGUCCGGUACUGACGCUGAGGUGGCGAAAAGCGUGGGGAGCAAACAGGG
rnacentral:rRNA from 1 species